rnacentral:rRNA from 1 species
GAUCCUGGCUCAGGAUGAACGCUAGCGGCAGGCCUAACACAUGCAAGUCGAGGGGCAGCAUAAAAUUAGCUUGCUAAUUUGGUGGCGACCGGCGCACGGGUGCGUAACGCGUAUGCAACCUACCUUAUACUGGGGGAUAGCCCGGAGAAAUUCGGAUUAAUACCCCAUAGUAUUGUUAAAUCGCAUGGUUUGAUAAUUAAAGGUUACGGUAUAAGAUGGGCAUGCGUCCUAUUAGCUAGAUGGUGAGGUAACGGCUCACCAUGGCGACGAUAGGUAGGGGGCCUGAGAGGGUGGUCCCCCACACUGGUACUGAGACACGGACCAGACUCCUACGGGAGGCAGCAGUGAGGAAUAUUGGUCAAUGGGCGCAAGCCUGAACCAGCCAUGCCGCGUGCAGGAAGAAUGCCCUAUGGGUUGUAAACUGCUUUUAUUUGGGAAUAAACCUCUUUACGCGUAGAGAGCUGAAGGUACCAAAUGAAUAAGCACCGGCUAACUCCGUG